rnacentral:miRNA from 1 species
CUUUCACACAUAUGUGAAUCACUUUCACAUAUGCGUGAAGGCCAUUCACCCAUAGGUGAAAGUGAUCACAUAUGGGUGAAGG